AAGCAGCGAAAUCUCCACGGGGCCUGGUCUGUGGCUUAACCUUGGUUUUGUUCUUCAUGUUGCAGCGCUUGGGAUCUGGCGAGGUCUGACUCUUACACUGUUCCAACUGCUGUAGACGGAUGGCAUUAUGGGCUUGAGGCAGAUUUCCCAGAGGCUCACAUGCCCCAUGGCCGCUGGGGCUGGCCUGGGGCCCCUGCAUGCCAGGGCCCCGCACACUCCUGGUGCAGAGCCAGUGCUUAGUGAAGGUCUGCAGCGGGGGAACAGGCCAUAAGAUGGAGGAGUCUGAACCAUAUGCCUGUUGCCUGACGGGGUCUCCUGGGAGAAACUUAGCUCUUCCCCAUUCACUCCACAUUAGAUCUGGAGUCCUCUCCCCAGUCCUGUCCCCAUGCUCAAGGCCUGGUCCAAGGAAGGUUGGCUGGGAGCAUGUCAUCCACUGUAACCUGAGUGCUCAAGAGGAAAGAAAGGCGCCCCAACAUCAGACUCUCACAGCCCAGCCCUGGGACUGCCCUCCUGCAGGAAGAAGCUGAAUAUUUUACAAAAUACUAGAAGAAGAGGCUGAGAAAUUUACAAACCUGUUUCACUCACCGGUUUCAACAAAAGUGUGGAAAUGAAUGUCACUGAGCUGCCACCCUGAAACUGCUUUGUUUGUGCUGAGUUUUCACUGAUGAAGGCUAGCAGAAGCGGCAGCAUGGCUAGGGCACCUUGGGGACUCUGGCAGGGUUGGCUGCAGCAGCCAUCUGUGUGGACCCAGUACCUCCAGUCCAUCACCCUGAGUGGAGGGUUGCAGCAUGCUUGUCUGAUUACUGACUCUUCUUCUAGCUCACUCCCCCUAACACACUAAUAACCGGACAUGCUCAGAUCGGUCAGAGAAAUGCUCAUGAAAGAGUGGAGGAAGAGAAGGAGAAAUCAGAAAGGAGAGGGUACAACAAUGAAGAAGACCCAUCCAUCGCAGACACUGGCCACCACAUGCAUUAAAUCAGCCCUUCCUGGACACAACAAAGGCCACUAUCCUAAGUUCAGCUCCCUGUAGAGACAGGAAAUGGCAAAUGCUGAGACAUUUUAUUCCUAAACUACCGUUAUAGUCAAGUCUUUUGUCUGCCAAAGGGGAAAGGAUUCUGCAGUGGUUUAUGCUCUUCAUCCUCUCACACACUUAGAGGAACUUUGAGUACAUACUUCCCAUACUGCUGAGCAUACAUCUUCGGGUCCUGAGGGUUCUUGUCUUUCAUUUCAAGUAGGA
rnacentral:lncRNA from 10 species